UACGAAGGGGGCUAGCGUUGCUCGGAAUCACUGGGCGUAAAGGGCGCGUAGGCGGACCGUUAAGUCGGGGGUGAAAUCCUGGAGCUCAACUCCAGAACUGCCUUCGAUACUGGCGAUCUUGAGUCCGGAAGAGGUGAGUGGAACUCCUAGUGUAGAGGUGGAAUUCGUAGAUAUUAGGAAGAACACCAGUGGCGAAGGCGGCUCACUGGUCCGGUACUGACGCUGAGGUGCGAAAGCGUGGGGAGCAAACAGGG
rnacentral:rRNA from 1 species